GAGUCGACCCCUAAGGCGAGGCCGAAAGGCGUAGUCGAUGGGAAACGGGUUAAUAUUCCCGUACUUGGUGUUACUGCGAAGGGGGGACGGAGAAGGCUAUGUUGGCCGGGCGACGGUUGUCCCGGUUUAAGCGUGUAGGUGUGUGUUCCAGGUAAAUCCGGUUCACUUUAACACUGAGGCGUGAUGACGAGGCACCACGGUGCUGAAGCAACAAAUGCCCUGCUUCCAGGAAAAGCCUCUAAGCAUCAGGUAACAUCAAAUCGUACCCCAAACCGACACAGGUGGUCAGGUAGAGAAUACCAAGGCGCUUGAGAGAACUCGGGUGAAGGAACUAGGCAAAAUGGUGCCGUAACUUCGGGAGAAGGCACGCUGACACGUAGGUGAAGUGAUUUACUCAUGGAGCUGAAGUCAGUCGAAGAUACCAGCUGGCUGCAACUGUUUAUUAAAAACACAGCACUGUGCAAACACGAAAGUGGACGUAUACGGUGUGACGCCUGCCCGGUGCCGGAAGGUUAAUUGAUGGGGUCAGCGCAAGCGAAGCUCCUGAUCGAAGCCCCGGUAAACGGCGGCCGUAACUAUAACGGUCCUAAGGUAGCGAAAUUCCUUGUCGGGUAAGUUCCGACCUGCACGAAUGGCGUAAUGAUGGCCAGGCUGUCUCCACCCGAGACUCAGUGAAAUUGAACUCGCUGUGAAGAUGCAGUGUACCCGCGGCAAGACGGAAAGACCCCGUGAACCUUUACUAUAGCUUGACACUGAACAUUGAGCCUUGAUGUGUAGGAUAGGUGGGAGGCUUUGAAGCGUGGACGCCAGUCUGCGUGGAGCCGACCUUGAAAUACCACCCUUUAAUGUUUGAUGUUCUAACGUGGACCCGUAAUCCGGGUUGCGGACAGUGUCUGGUGGGUAGUUUGACUGGGGCGGUCUCCUCCUAAAGAGUAACGGAGGAGCACGAAGGUUGGCUAAUCCUGGUCGGACAUCAGGAGGUUAGUGCAAUGGCAUAAGCCAGCUUGACUGCGAGCGUGACGGCGCGAGCAGGUGCGAAAGCAGGUCAUAGUGAUCCGGUGGUUCUGAAUGGAAGGGCCAUCGCUCAACGGAUAAAAGGUACUCCGGGGAUAACAGGCUGAUACCGCCCAAGAGUUCAUAUCGACGGCGGUGUUUGGCACCUCGAUGUCGGCUCAUCACAUCCUGGGGCUGAAGUAGGUCCCAAGGGUAUGGCUGUUCGCCAUUUAAAGUGGUACGCGAGCUGGGUUUAGAACGUCGUG
rnacentral:rRNA from 1 species